UAUAUUUGGACCCGCACCAAAUGAAUGUUUUAAUAUUUUUCUUUUAUUUCAUUGUAGGCUAAACACCAACUAAUAUCCAAUAUUUGAUAUAAGCUCUUAAACAAAAUCAAAGGGUAUUAUUAUGUAAGAACGUGCUUUUCAGAGUUCAUGGAAAUCAACAGACAAUCAAGCAAGCUUGGUCUAAAUAAUAAAUUAUUUUAAAAGAACACUUUACUACAAUUAGAAGUCUUUAUUUGUUUUUAUAUUAAUCAUUUGUUGUAGCUAUAAAACAUGGCCCAUGGUAACCUUAAUUGUUCACACAACAAAAAAGAAGAUGCAUAUGGCUAAUAACGGUGUAACACAUGCACUAAUAAUAUUUAUGAUUGGAAUAUUUAUUUUUGCUGCCAUUGCUAAAUUCCAUGAUACCAUCCCUGAAUCUUCUUGGAAUAGUGUGAAAGAAUGUGUUGAUAAAUGCAAUGCACAAUAUCCCGAUGACACAUUUAAGAGGAAUCUUUGCAUUUUCAAGUGCAAUAUGAUACAUUAGUAGGCAAUGGUAAGUAUCUAAAAUGUUGUGACCUUUUUUGAGUUUAUAUCUUAAUUAUAUAUUUUAUGUUUAUGUAAUAAAAUUUCCACUCUUUCUUGAGUGUGUAGUGAUAAAUAAAUUAUGAAAAAAAUAGCUAAUGCAUGAAAUUUUACGGUUUUUUUUUUCUCUAUAAUUGCC
rnacentral:lncRNA from 1 species